rnacentral:rRNA from 1 species
GCUUUACUGUAGCUUGGAAUUGAAUUUGGGCUUAUUUUGCGCAGUAUAGGUGGGAGGCUAAGAUAAUAUAUUUGCGGAUAUACAGAAGCCAAUAGUGAGAUACCACUCUAAAUAAGCUAAAAUUCUAACUCUGAAAGCCGUUAACCGGCCAGAGAACAGUUCCAGGUGGGCAGUUUGACUGGGGCGGUCGCCUCCUAAAAGGUAACGGAGGCGUACAAAGGUUUCCUCAGACUGGUCGGAAAUCAGUCUUAGAGUAUAAAGGCAUAAGGAAGCUUGACUGCAAGACCUACAAGUCGAGCAGAGACGAAAGUCGGUCUUAGUGAUCCGACAGUGCUGAGUG